rnacentral:rRNA from 1 species
UCCAGACUCCUACGGGAGGCAGCAGUGGGGGAUAUUGCACAAUGGGGGGAACCCUGAUGCAGCGACGCCGCGUGGGUGAAGGAGCGUUUCGGCGCGUAAAGCCCUCUCGGCAGGGAAGAAGGAGGACGGUACCUGACUAAGAAGCCCCGGCUAACUACGUGCCAGCAGCCGCGGUAAUACGUAGGGGGCAAGCGUUAUCCGGAUUUACUGGGUGUAAAGGGGGCGCAGGCGGCAGCGCAAGCCAGGAGUGAAAGCCCGGGGCCCAACCCCGGGACUGCUCUUGGAACUGCGUGGCUGGAGUGCAGGAGGGGCAGGCGGAAUUCCUGGUGUAGCGGUGAAAUGCUUAGAGAUCAUACAGAACACCGAUUGCGAAGGCAGCUUACCAAACUAUAUCUGACGUUGAGGCACGAAAGCGUGGGUAGCAAACAGGAUUAGAUACCCCCGUAA